rnacentral:rRNA from 1 species
GACGAACGCUGGCGGCGUGCUUAACACAUGCAAGUCGAACGGAAAGGCCCUGCUUUUGUGGGGUGCUCGAGUGGCGAACGGGUGAGUAACACGUGAGUAACCUGCCCUUGACUUUGGGAUAACUUCAGGAAACUGGGGCUAAUACCGUAUAGGAGCUCCUGCUGCAUGGUGGGGGUUGGAAAGUCUCGGCGGUUGGGGAUGGACUCGCGGCUUAUCAGCUUGUUGGUGGGGUAGUGGCUUACCAAGGCUUUGACGGGUAGCCGGCCUGAGAGGGUGACCGGCCACAUUGGGACUGAGAUACGGCCCAGACUCCUACGGGAGGCAGCAGUGGGGAAUAUUGCACAAUGGGCGGAAGCCUGAUGCAGCAACGCCGCGUGCGGGAUGACGGCCUUCGGGUUGUAAACCGCUUUCGCCUGUGACGAAGCGUGAGUGACGGUAAUGGGUAAAGAAGCACCGGCUAACUACGUG